rnacentral:snRNA from 1 species
GUGCUUGCUUCAGCAACACAUAUACUAAAAUGGAACGAUACAGAGAAGAUUAGCAUGGCCCCUGCACAAGGAUGACAUGCAAAUUCAUGAAGCGUUCAUAUUUUUA